GUUUCGGCAUUCGGUGCAUAUUUAUGAAAUACCUUGUGAACCGAAUGCAUUUCCUUAUCUGAUUCAUGCUCAUCUGAAAGACUCCUUUCAUUCGUUCAAAAACCGAGCUGCUUCUGGGUUUACGAGGUGAAGUCCAGACCAGUCCUCCGGCCAGAAUUUGUGGAAGAUGUUUACCGUGCCUCUUGCGUAAACUGAAACGGUUGGUAUAACAGCCAGUUACAUCGUGGCACAUGCCGUGUCCCAUUAGGAGGACAGAGACACGACUAUGGCCACAGUAGGACUUCCUUUAUGGUGACUAAUAACAACCGAAGGAGGCGAACCCUCGGAGGGGAGACGGAAACAUAACCGCGCAGCCCUUUGCGCAUUUCUGGUCCCGGCGAUUUGAAACUCUUCUGCUGGAAGUGUGUUGGAUCAGUGGGGGUUUAGAUGAAGGACGAAUGUGUAUUUACCACAGACUUUGCUGUACCACAAAAUAACGCAAUCUCAGAGGUAAGGACACAUAUACUGAUUUCAUUCAUUUAUAUAUCCAUUUUAGGCCCUUUUCCCCACAACCCCUUACACAUUGCGUGUAGAAUAGUGUGUUACUGCAGGCCUGGACCCAGGGGUCACGGGCUGUGUAAUGAAGGACACUGCCUUGUAUCCUUAAGACUGUUGGUUCAAGCCCCAUUUCUCUUACUGCUGUUUCAAUUUUGAUUGUGAAAACUGAAAAUUUUCUUUAAAAUGUCUUACGCUGCUAAGGUACUUAAAGUGAUUUACCCAGUCAUACAGUUGGGUAAAUCUAACUAUCUGAAAUGGACGAGACUGGGAGACAGGGGGAUAGGUAGGCCCAGUCGCCAGAACUUUUAUUAAGAACACCAAAAGGGCAAACUAGAACUGUAGUCGUGGGGCAGGCAAGGGUCAGUGGAGGGCCAAACGCUGUUCCGGGGACAAAACAGGAGCAAAGGUCGAUUUAGCAAAGCAGAGGUCUGGAACCGAAGCCGUGGAGCCACGGCAUCGGGAAUGAAGGGGCGAAGAGGAUCGAGAGGGCCAAGGCCGGUGCUGACACUUGGGCUGAUGGCAUGGGUGUGACACCAUCGGUCGAGGGAUUUCAGACGGACCGGCGCUCCGACGAAACCUUGGGGUUCCCUGGUGCAACAGCAGGAAGGGCAGCUGUUACUCAAGAUUUCCCCCCCCCCCCGCCCCACCCGGUACUUUGGUCCCUCCAGCUCCCGCCGCCACCCCAGCCCCCACAACCCUUUGCGCGUCAACAGGACCUGACAAAGCUGAUGCGCAUUCGUGAGAGGAUGGAAAAGCAGAAGUGGGGACAUGUCGAAAUUGUGUUCGGCACUUCGCCAAGGCGGCUCUGGUCACUUACGGGAGCUCAGCAGCUCUGGAUUCCCGAUAGGCCGGAGGUCCGGAUAUCCGUAGGGCGUGAUCUGAACACCAACCGCCGCAUAUGAUCCAGCUUGCGUUUUGACUCUACAUGCCAUGCGUGCGCAGGUCAUUUGGUGAGGCCGACCAUGCCCUCGACAGCAGCGUCCUUGCCGUAGGGCGUCCUCGCCGGCCCCAGCAUUUUGCUGCUGGAGACGCAAAAUUUCUUUUUUCUUGGUUUUAUCUUUUUACAUGUUGCAUGACUUCCCUAAAUGCAAAAAUUUGCACUUUUCGCUAUCGUUGUGCUUGUUAAUGCUCACUUUUUUGAGCCUAGUAAUCUUAGGUUAUUCAAACCGUUGUGUGACUUCCUCAAGUCAAUGAAUUUGCACCUUUUGCUGCUGCUGUUUGUUGUUGGUGGACUGAUUCUGUUAGCUUGACGGGGGGGAGCAGGAUAUGGACAAAUUUAUGGAAAUUUUCAACACCGGCAUAAACAUACUUCCAUUAUACCCAUGCAGUACUGAUAUGUGAUCCGAUAGAGUCAAUGGGCACCAAUAGCUUUAAUGUUUCCGCAGUAUCCAUAUCGGUCCUAGGUGUAAACUGUGUAAAGGCAGUGGGUCAUUGUAGGAGUUAAGGCCUUUGCCUUGCAUUGUGGAGGUCCUGGGUUCGAAUCCCACUCCUGCUGUAGUAACCUUGACCAAGGAGCUUACCCCGCAAUGCGGCCAUACUCGCUGAGUCUGUAAAUCGCAAGCAGUUUGUCGUUGUACCAUCCAAACAUUUUAAAUUGCCUUGGGUAAUAGUGUCAGCUAAUUAUCACAUUAUCAUAUAAACAAUAAGGUGGUCAUGAUAUAAAGCAGGUAAUAAUACUAAUUUGUCAUGGACUGCAGCAUUAGAUCAACACCAGAUAAUAUUAAACUGCUUUGAAUAAAGGCAUCAGAUAAUUAUACAACAUUAUAGAUAGUAAUAUAAAGCUCGUAAUGGCAACAACAAAUAAGUGUUACCCUUGGUCAAAGGUGUCACCUAAAUACCAGAGUAAUAACAGAAAACAUGUUACUGAUUACAAGAGAUGCUUCACAAACAUCCAGAUUUGUACUGUGACAAACAAAAUUUUGAGCCAAUAAAAUUCUUAUUUCAGGGAAGUUUUCACUCGCUGUAUUACUCACACAAAAAAUGUGGCACAAGUGUGCAUUAUAAGACUGCCAGCAAUCACAGCAGAUUCUAUGAAAUGCUGCUCCAGGGUUUUCAAGGAAAAAUGAGGCUUCUGUGUUUUGGGGAAGUCGCUUAGUUUUCACCACAAAAAAAGAAAAUCGAGGAAGGGUAAGUAAAAUUUUAAAUUUCACAAGAUCACAUUUUGCCAGAACCAGGCAAUACGGUUCCCCAACAAGGAGCAGAGGAAGUCUCAAAAUAGAAUAAAAAAGGCUACCAGUGUCCCACAUGCUUCUAGGCAAUGCAGCAACUUCAGAGAGUGGGCCGGAGCGCCGAAGAGGUUAAAAAAGUUUGAGAUAAAGGGUGACGCAACACGUAGUUUACGGACAAGCUCUCCUUCGCUGACAGUAAGUUUGUAAGGAAAAAAGGGGCGGGACUUUUAUUCUAGAACAAAUUGAACUCUUCAGGGAGUGUGGGAAAUCCCCAGAACUGCUCAAAAGUAAGCAAGUACACCGCGGGAGCGGGGAGGGUGUACGGGGGCUCGGGUCCAGAACUUUGACCCCUUGUGUGCCGGACGGAGCAUUGCGGCACGGCGCAUGGCGCACGCACGCCGCGGAGUGACGCGCGCGGUCCCCGGAUAUUGUCUCGAUUGUCGCCGGGCUGCCGCUGUCGCCGAUGGUGCGUCGCAGCGUUGUCCGUUUAUUUUCCUUUUUCUUUUGGCUCACUACGGAUCCAGGCAACCACACGGAUAAUAACAAUACCAUGCAAGACGCUUGGCGGCAGGUGGCACGGUGCUUAAAGCUGCUGCCUUCCACUUGAAGGCCCCGGAUUUCAAUGAGGUUUCAUACUUACCCAGAACUGAUACAGUAAAACUGCCCUGUUUCAUAUUUUAGGUAAAAACAUCUAUUGAUGGGCUCCACCACGUGCUAUUCAUUAACAGAGAUGAUAUUAAAUGGAAGAAGUUCAGAUGACAUACCCGCUCUAGGGUUCCCCAGCAGGGCCCCACCUGAGACCUGGAGCAGUGACCUUGAGGCUGCAAGCCUGUGUCCUUAAACACACUGCAAGCUGCUGCUUUACCACUUACUGGAUAUUCAUUUCAGGAGAGCAAGUUCAGAGCCCCACCAUGUUGCUGUAACAGUACAGACACACUGACACUGGGGUGUAAAAUGACCAGAGAGGCCAGUUGCGUAUGUAGACACGCACGGACCGAAAGGAACACGUGUACUUAAUGCUGAAACGUCUUGCACCCAUUCCUCAGCUGUAAGGCUCCAGCAAAUUAAAAUGACAUAAUUCAUUCAAAAAUUUUACAUUUUAUAUAUAUAUACAUUAUAUAU